rnacentral:lncRNA from 10 species
CUAGUAUCAGAAUAUAUAAAGAACUCUUAGACCAGGUGAGGUGGCUCUCACCUAUAAUCCCAGCACUUUGGAAGGCUGAGAUGGGUGGAUCACUUGAGCCCAGGAGUUUGAGGCCUGCCUGGGCAACAUGGCGAAAACCAUGUCUCUACAAGAAACAAACAAACAAACAAAAAACAACAACAAAAAACAAAGGUAGCCAGGCAUAGUGACCCAUGCCUGUGGUCCCAGCUACUCAGGAGGCUGAGGCAGAAGGAUUGUUUGAGCCUGGGAGGUCAAGGCUGCAGUGGGGCGUGAUGUACCAUUGCACUCCAGCCUGGGCAACAAAGAGAGACUCUGUUUCUUAAAAAGAAAAGAAAGAAAGAACUCUUACAACUCAAUAACAAGAGGAGAAACCACCCAAUUUUCUAAUGGGCAAAGAUACAAAUAGAAAUUUCAGAUAUACAAGUUACCAACAAUUAUGUGAAAAGAUGCUCAACUAUUAGUCAUUAGGAAAAUGCAAAUCAAACCAAUAAUGAGAUGCCAUUUUACAACAGCUAUGUUAGCUAUCAUCUUUAAAAAUAGAAAAUAGCCGAUGUGGUGGCAGGCACCUGCAGUCCCAGCUACUUGGGAGGCUGAAGUAGGAGGAUCGCUUGAGCCCAGGAGUUUUGAGGUGUAGUGAGCUAUGCCCACUGGGUGUCCACACUAAGUCGACAUCAACAUGGUGAUCUCCCAGGAGCAGAGGACUACCAGGUUGCCUCAGGAGAGGUAAACUGGCCCAGGGUGGAAACACAGCAGGUCAGAACUCCCAUGCUGAUCAGUAGUGAGAUGUUGUCUGUGAAUAGCCACUGCAAUUCUGCCUGCACAACGCAGGGAGACCCCGUUUUCAAUUUAUACACACACACAUAUACAUAUACAUAUAUAUUUUAUACAUACAUAUAUACAAAAUAAGUAUUGGAGAGGAUGUGGAGAAAUUACUACCCUCACACACUGAAGGUGGGAAUGUAAAAAUGGUGCAGUUGCUGUGGAAAAUUGUUUCGUGGUUCCCAACAUAGAAUUACCAUAUGAAUCACUAAAUUUCAUAUCUAGGUAUAUACCCCAAAGAAUUGAAAGUAGGUGAUGAAACAAAUACUUGUACACCACUGUUUGUAGCAACACUAUUGACUACAGCCAAAAGGUGGAAAGAACCCAAAUGUCCCUCAAUCAAUGAAUGGAUAAACAAAUUGUGGCGCAAGCCUGUAAUCCCAGCACUUUGGGAGGCUGAGGUGGGCGGAUCACCUGAGGUAAGGAGUUCGAGACCAGCCUGACUAACCUGGUGAAACCCUGUCUCUACUAAAUACAAAAAAAUUAGCUGGGUGUGGUGGCGCAUGGCUGUAAUGCCAGCUACUUGGGAGGCUGAGGCAGAAGAAUCGUUUUAACCCAGGAGGCGGGGGUUGCAGUGAGCUGAGAUCGUGCCAUUGCACUCCAGCCUGGGCAUCAAGAGGGAAACCCCACCUCAAAACAAAACAAGACAAAGCAAACAAAAAAAACAAAUCGUAGUAGAAACAUAAAAUAUUAUGAAGUACUGGUACAUGCUGUGAUGUGGAUGAACUUUAAAAGCAGUAUGCUGGCAGGGCGCGGUGGCUCACGCCUGUAAUCCCAGCACUUUGGGAGGC